rnacentral:rRNA from 1 species
UACGAAGGGGGCUAGCGUUGCUCGGAAUCACUGGGCGUAAAGCGCACGUAGGCGGCUUCUUAAGUCAGGGGUGAAGUCCUGGAGCUCAACUCCAGAACUGCCUUUGGUACUGAGGAGCUUGAGUCCGGGAGAGGUGAGUGGAACUGCGAGUGUAGAGGUGAAAUUCGUAGAUAUUCGCAAGAACACCAGUGGCGAAGGCGGCUCACUGGCCCGGUACUGACGCUGAGGUGCGAAAGCGUGGGGAGCAAACAGG